rnacentral:rRNA from 1 species
CCUACGGGUGGCAGCAGUAGGGAAUCUUUCACAAUGGGCGAAAGCCUGAUGGAGCAACGCCGCGUGCAGGAUGAAGGCCUUCGGGUUGUAAACUUCUUUUCUCAGGGACGAAGAAAGUGACGGUACCUGAGGACUAAGCCACGGCUAACUACGUGCCAGCAGCCGCGGUAAUACGUAGGUGGCAAGCGUUAUCCGGAUUUAUUGGGUGUAAAGGGCGUGUAGGCGGGAGCGCAAGUCAGAUGUGAAAACUCAGGGCUCAACCCUGAGCCUGCAUUUGAAACUGUGUUUCUUGAGUGCUGGAGAGGCAAUCGGAAUUCCGGGUGUAGCGGUGAAAUGCGUAGAUAUACGGAGGAACACCAGUGGCGAAGGCGGAUUGCUGGACAGUAACUGACGCUGAGGCGCGAAAGCGUGGGGAGCAAACAGGAUUAGAUACCCCAGUAGUC